ACCUUAUCCAGAGAAGGUGGAGGGACUGGCCCGAUGAUACCCGGCAACCGACACAGCGCUUGCCUGUCAGCUAGACUGACGGCGCGAUUGCAAGCGAUGUGCACGGUGCUAAUUCCUGCAGAAGCAAAAGUAUUCUGGAAGAUAAGGG
rnacentral:ncRNA from 2 species